CCUAGGAAGCUGAAAUUGCAAGAAUUCGACUAUUAUGGCUUAUAAUCGACUAUAUUGAUGUCGUUUCGGUAUUGUUCGCAGCGAGAGGGUAUUUGACCCUUGGACCGCCUUCGUGUGGCAUUGGAGGGCCUUCUGGAAGCUUAACGUGAGGUAAUGAACUGAGCCAAAACAGGAAUUUAAGCUAUUCCUACGUACUAAGUGCAAUUGCGCCGAUAUUGGACAUGUCGAUCGUAAUUUUGAUACGAUAUUUGUGCUUCGUGUUCAGCAGGAUUGAGACCUAGUAGAGCUGAUCCUUGGGAUUCCUUUGGACUGAUUUGAGCUUAGUACGAGGUGGGUCGGACCUAACCAGAGC
rnacentral:lncRNA from 1 species